rnacentral:tRNA from 1 species
GGGGGUAUAGUAUAACCUGGUAGUACCGCGGGCUCCAGUUGCACGGGAAUGACGACGAGUGGGUAAUCUGAUGGUUUUGAUGACCAACUGGAGCACCGACCCUUCGCAAACCGAGAGCGUGCAUCUGCCAGGUGCACGCUAGGCGGAAGAUACCCGCUGAUCUGGGUUCGAAUCCCAGUGCCCCCACCA